rnacentral:misc_RNA from 1 species
CCCUUUUGUUGGGUGUUGGGAUGUGAAUAAUGGCGCGAGCCGUUACCCAAUCACCUGCGCGCAAGCGCAAAGACAAAUCCGGGUCCCCUUCGUCUAGAGGCCUAGGACACCGCCCUUUCACGGCGGUAACAGGGGUUCGAAUCCCCUAGGGGACGCCACUUCUCUUCUUGCUAACAAGAAUGCAGAGUUAAGAAACUGAUUCUUAACUCUGUUUUCUUCAGCCUUGUGCUGUUGCAAACAUGCUCUUUAACAAUCUGGAAAGCUGAUUUAAAAAGUAGUUCUCAAACAUUUGUUACAAGUGCUUUGGAAACUUCUUGGCGAAAACCAAAUUUUAUUUGGUCCUUGUUGUACAGCAACAGGCUGCGUCGGUUUCACCGACACUUCUUGGGGUUGUAUGGUUAAGUGACUAAGCGUACAUGGUGGAUGCCUUGGCAGUCAGAGGCGAUGAAGGACGUACUAACCUGCGAUAAGCCGUGAGCAGUCGGUAAGAGACAUUACGACUCACAGAUUUCCGAAUGGGGAAACCCACUUAGCAUAAGCUAGGUAUCGUUGCAUGAAUACAUAGUGCAACGAGGCGAACCGGGAGAACUGAAACAUCUAAGUACCCCGAGGAAAAGAAAUCAACCGAGAUUCCCUCAGUAGCGGCGAGCGAACGGGGAUUAGCCCUUAAGUUUCUUG